AGNGAAGAACNUUCCCUACUCUUGACAUCUAUAGAAGCCAGCGGAGACGCAGGUGUGCCUUCGGGAACUGUAAGACAGGUGCUGCAUGGCUGUNGUCAGCUNGUGUUGUGAAAUGUUGGGUUAAGUCCCGCAACGAGCGCAACCCUUAUCCUUGUUUGCCAGCACUUCGGGUGGGAACUCCAGGGAGACUGCCGGUGAUAAACCGGAGGAAGGUGGGGACGACGUCAAGUCAUCAUGGCCCUUACGAGUAGGGCUACACACGUGCUACAAUGGCGCAUACAGAGGGCGGCCAACUUGCGAAAGUGAGCGAAUCCCAAAAAGUGCGUCGUAGUCCGGAUUGGAGUCUGCAACUCGACUCCAUGAAGUCGGAAUCGCUAGUAAUCGUGGAUCAGAAUGCCACGGUGAAUACGUUCCCGGGCCUUGUACACACCGCCCGUCACACCAUGGGAGUGGGCUGCAAAAGAAGUGGGUAGUUUAACCUUCGGGAGGACGCUCACCACUUUGUGGUUCAUGACUGGGGUGAAGUCGUAACAAGGUAACCG
rnacentral:rRNA from 1 species